rfam:Ricinus communis cultivar Hale ctg_1100012351493, whole genome shotgun sequence.
UUUGAGGGGAAUGUUGUCUGGCUCGAGGACUCUCUUUUGAUCCCUUUCAAUUUUCUCCAUAGAUCCAAUACGGAUAUUGGGAGUGGGUAGAUCAUUUGACAGUGUCGUCGGACCAGGCUUCAUUCCCCCCAAU